rnacentral:rRNA from 1 species
CAAGUUUUUAAGGGCACACGGUGGAUGCCUUGGCAUUAGGAGCCGAAGAAGGACGUAGGAAUCUGCGAUAAGCCUGGGGGAGUUGAUAACCGAGCGUUGAUCCCAGGAUGUCCGAAUGGGGAAACCCCGCACAACGCUGUCAUGGUGAUUGUGUGACCCGCAUCUGAACACAUAGGGUGCGUGGGGGGAACGCGGGGAAGUGAAACAUCUCAGUACCCGCAGGAAGAGAAAACAAGAGUGAUUCCGUUAGUAGUGGCGAGCGAACGCGGAUCAGGCUAAACCGUUUCCAUGUGUGAUAGCCGGCGGGCGUUGCAUGGGCGGGGUUGUGGGACUUUCCGUUCUGGUUCUGCCGGGCCAGUGAGGUGAGAGUGCGUGCAUAGGUGAACGGUCUUGAAAGGCCGGCCAGAGAGGGUGUGAGCCCCGUAACCGUAAUGUUGUGUGCCGCCUGGAGAGUAUCCCAAGUAGCACGGGGCCCGAGAAAUCCCGUGCGAAUCUGUCAGGACCACCUGAUAAGCCUAAAUACUUCCUAAUGACCGAUAGCGGACCAGUACCGUGAGGGAAAGGUGAAAAGUACCCCGGGAGGGGAGUGAAACAGUACCUGAAACCGUGUGCUUACAAUCCGUCGGAGCAGUCUUGUUACUGUGACGGCGUGCCUUUUGAAGAAUGAGCCUGCGAGUUAGUGUUACGUCGCGAGGUUAACCCGUGUGGGGUAGCCGUAGCGAAAGCGAGUCUGAAUAGGGCGAGUGUAGUGGCGUGAUCUAGACCCGAAGCGGAGUGAUCUACCCAUGGCCAGGUUGAAGCGACGGUAAGACGUCGUGGAGGACCGAACCCACUUCAGUUGAAAAUGGAGGGGAUGAGCUGUGGGUAGGGGUGAAAGGCCAAUCAAACUCCGUGAUAGCUGGUUCUCCCCGAAAUGCAUUUAGGUGCAGCGUUGCGUGUUUCUUGCCGGAGGUAGAGCUACUGGAUGGCCGAUGGGCCCUACAAGGUUACUGACGUCAGCCAAACUCCGAAUGCCGGUAAGUCAGAGCGCAGCAGUGAGACUGUGGGGGAUAAGCUUCAUAGUCGAGAGGGAAACAGCCCAGACCACCAACUAAGGCCCCUAAGCGUGUGCUAAGUGGGAAAGGAUGUGGAGUUGCGAAGACAACCAGGAGGUUGGCUUAGAAGCAGCCAUCCUUGAAAGAGUGCGUAAUAGCUCACUGGUCAAGUGAUUCCGCGCCGACAAUGUAGCGGGGCUCAAGUACACCGCCGAAGUUGUGGAUUUCACACAGUACCCUAGCCUUCGUGGUUCAGGGGUGUGGAGUGGUAGGGGAGCGUCGUGUGGGCAGUGAAGUCGCGGUGGAAACCAGCGGUGGAGCCUACACGAGUGAGAAUGCAGGCAUGAGUAGCGAAAGACGGGUGAGAAACCCGUCCGCCGAAUGAUCAAGGGUUCCAGGGUCAAGCUAAUCUGCCCUGGGUAAGUCGGGACCUAAGGCGAGGCCGACAGGCGUAGUCGAUGGACAACGGGUUGAUAUUCCCGUACCGGCGAAAAACCGCCCAUGCCAAGCGGGG